rnacentral:tRNA from 1 species
GAGGGUGUAGCUCAGUGGUAGAGUGUGUGCUUAGCAUGCACGAGGUCCUGGGUUCAGUCCCCAGUACCUCCA